CCCGAUUAACCCCUUCCCUCCCGCAGGUCUGUCACUCGCAGCCAUUACCGCGGUGCCACCGGCGCUCUGCUGGUUUACGACAUCACCAGCAGGGAGACCUGCAACGCUUUGACCCAUUGGCUGACGGACGCACAGACGCUCUCCAGCCCCAACAUCGUCAUCAUCCUCUGCGGGAACAAAAAGGACCUGGAUGGGGAGCGCGAGGUCGCCUUCCUGGAGGCAUCCGGAUUCACACGGAAUGGUGGGGGGCUGCUGUGCGUCAGAAAGUCCUUGGAGCAGCAGCUCAUGGAUGCCGUGGACAAAUCGGGCCGUGCGCUCCAUGUCCAUCUCUACUGGUGAUGUUUUUAUUGACUACAACCAAAGUUGGAGUGCCGAGUUGGGCGGCACUCGGAACGCUGCCCUGCAACGCCACGCACUGCAGCGCUGCCUGCUGAUGCUGCUCCUCUCAGUCGUUCAGCUGCAGCUUCUGCAUCAUCUCCACCAGGCUGUUCAUGGCGGAGGACUGGAAAGAAACAGAGCGAGUGUAGAAACAGGACAGUGCUUCCCUCCGGAAAUCUCUUCCGUGUCUGACAGUCGGAGGCCCUGAGAACAACAAGAGCCGUGUCUGUGCUCACCGAGGACUCACCUCUGCACGUGCAGCUGCAGCUCUCAGAGAAGCCUUUUUCAGUUCUAUUCAGUUCUACGUGGGACUCACCCAUGGGGUGAAUGGGGUUCAUUGAAUGGGGGUGAAAUGAAGGAAAGCCACAGAGAAGUGAAGAUACCCUUGUGCAGCCCAGUAAAAAGGCAGGAUGGCCUCGUAGUGGUCAGCGGGGUCCCAGGGGAACAAGUAGGAGCUGGGAGGAGUGCACAGCAAUACGGAGCAGCAAAGUGCAGCAUGGCCAAGUGACAACCAGUAAGGAGCAGCACGGCCUCAGAGCGGUCAGUGGAGCCCUGUAGGAAUCAUCAGAAAGCAACAGGAAGGCACAGCUGUGCCCAGGGCCGGUGCCGGCCUCUGCCUCUGGCUUCGGGCCCUCGGCCUGGUGCCGGCCUUUCAGGACUGGCUUUAGGCUCCACGGCCGCUGCCAGCCCGCCCGGCUGUAGGUGUGGCUGUCAGCCCCG